rnacentral:rRNA from 1 species
GGAGGAAUAUUGGUCAAUGGGCGCAAGCCUAAACCAGCCAAGUAGCGUGAGGGAAGACUGCCCUACGGGUUGUAAACCUCUUUUGUUUGGGAAUAAAGUGCGGGACGCGUCCCGCAUUGCAUGUACCAUUUGAAUAAGGACCGGCUAAUUCCGUGCCAGCAGCCGCGGUAAUACGGAAGGUCCGGGCGUUAUCCGGAUUUAUUGGGUUUAAAGGGAGCGUAGGCCGGAGAUUAAGCGUGUUGUGAAAUGUAGUGGCUCAACCUCUGCACUGCAGCGCGAACUGGUCUUCUUGAGUACGCACAACGUGGGCGGAAUUCGUGGUGUAGCGGUGAAAUGCUUAGAUAUCACGAAGAACUCCGAUUGCGAAGGCAGCUCACGGGAGCGCAACUGACGCUGAAGCUCGAAAGUGCGGGGUAUCGAACAGGGAUUAGAUACCCUGGGUAGU